UCAUGCUCUGCAUGGUUGGUUGAAUGAAUGAACUAAUUAUCCAUCUGGGUGAAAAUUGAGACAAUAUGCAUGGCCAAGCACUUGGACAAAUUUCAGGUGGAACUGAGACUUAAAAGGAAAAAAUGGAAAAUGCCUACUCAACAUGAAGACAGUGAGGAUGAAGACCUUUAUGAUGAUCCAUUUCCACUUAAUGAAUAGCAUCAACCAUGAGCUUGUUGAAGAGGCAUUUGGGGGUAGCGAGGAGCAGAGAGAGAACUUUCCAACCACACUACCUGCGUUUUUGAAAGGCUGACAUGGCUCUUGGUUCUCAAAUCAGCCUCAAAAUAGCCUGAAAAGCCUGGAGUCCACUCACAGAAGAGCAGACCUCCUCCGGUAUGCACCAUGCUGACAGCACCACCUUACACACUCAGGUGUGCAAAAACCGGCGCGGGGGACAUCUCACACCUUAUGUAGAUCAAAUGCUCCUUCCCUGAUCCUCUGUAGGGAACUUCCUUUUCUCUAAUCCUAGAUCUUUUCAAAAAUUCUAACCAAAAUAAAAUUUAAAAAGAAGACAAUGUCUUGUGUCAGCUCAGAAUUAAGGGCAGAUAGAUAGUAAGCUCCUAGCUGUGAUGUCACUAGACUCACACACCCCCAUGAAGGCAGGAGCAAGUACUAUCCUCCCUGGACACAUGCAGACUUAGCAGAGGAAGACUCUGCAGGAAAUGAGGGGCCAUGCCAUGAUUAGGGCUCCCAUGAGCCAACUCCUUGCCUGCACCUCUCACACCGGAGAAAGAACAGUAAAUACUGUGUAGCUGCCUUUGGAAUAAACAUGUGAUAGCAAGUCAGGACCCCCUUGCCACAUACUGCUAGGAACACAGAACACUCACCUGUACAAUCCUCUCAAACAUAUGAGCCAGAGGGAGGUAGGAUAUGGCCACAUCAUCAGGAGUGGGCUCAUAAGCAUGCUAUGUAGGCCAGGGAAGUAAGAGGAGGCAACAUGAGAUUAAUGCCAACUUUCAAUUCCAAUGGAGAUUUUAAAACUACCUCCUCCCAGGACUACCACAGACAGCUGUAUAGGCGGUACACUGUGUAGAUCUGAGAUGCCUUGAACUGCAUAUAGUGUAGAAAUUUGCAGUGAUCCUAAAAGACCAACGCUUGAAAAUGUACAGUCCUCUAAACAAAGAACACGCUGGUGUUUGUCCACACUCCAGCCUUUAACGUGUGUGUGUGUGUGUGUGGGUGUGUGUGUGUGUGUGUGUGAAGGGAGAAAACAUGCAUGAAAAGACAUGGAGAGCUUAAGUUACUUAAGCAUCACUGAGGUC
rnacentral:lncRNA from 1 species